rnacentral:rRNA from 1 species
AGAGCGAACGCUGGCGGCAGGCCUAACACAUGCAAGUCGAGCGCCCGUAGCAAUACGGGAGCGGCAGACGGGAGAGUAACACGUGGGAACGCGCCCUUCGGUUCGGAAUAACUCAGGGAAACUUGAGCUAAUACCGGAUACGCCCUUACGGGGAAAGAUUUAUUGCCGAAGGAACGGCCCGCGUCCGAUUAGCUAGUUGGUGAGGUAAUGGCUCACCAAGGCGACGAUCGGUAGCUGGUCUGAGAGGAUGACCAGCCUCACUGGGACUGAGACACGGCCCAGACUCCUACGGGAGGCAGCAGUGGGGAAUAUUGGACAAUGGGCGCAAGCCUGAUCCAGCCAUGCCGCGUGGAUGAUGAAGGCCUUAGGGUUGUAAAGUCCUUUAACGGGAGAUAAUGACGGUACCGUAGAAUAAGCCCCGGCUAACUUCGUGCCAGCAGCCGC